CGUACACUCCUGCGGGAGGCAGCAGUGGGGAAUAUUGCACAAUGGGCGCAAGCCUGAUGCAGCCAUGCCGCGUGUAUGAAGAAGGCCUUCGGGUUGUAAAGUACUUUCAGCGGGGAGGAAGGCAAUACGGUUAAUAACCGUGUUGAUUGACGUUACCCGCAGAAGAAGCACCGGCUAACUCCGUGCCAGCAGCCGCGGUAAUACGGAGGGUGCAAGCGUUAAUCGGAAUUACUGGGCGUAAAGCGCACGCAGGCGGUCUGUCAAGUCGGAUGUGAAAUCCCCGGGCUCAACCUGGGAACUGCAUUCGAAACUGGCAGGCUUGAGUCUUGUAGAGGGGGGUAGAAUUCCAGGUGUAGCGGUGAAAUGCGUAGAGAUCUGGAGGAAUACCGGUGGCGAAGGCGGCCCCCUGGACAAAGACUGACGCUCAGGUGCGAAAGCGUGGGGAGCAAACAGGAUUAGAUACCCGAGUAGUCCCA
rnacentral:rRNA from 1 species